rnacentral:rRNA from 1 species
AUGUCGAAACAAAGUGGAUGGAUAUUCCUAGGAUUCUACGGAUGCAGCUUAGAUGCUCGGUUAGAUUGCUUGCCAUUGCAUGUCUGGCUACUUGCUCCUCUCCGAUAUUUGAAGCACACGCACAUGCUUAUUUUACCCAAACACACACGGGCUCGGGCUCGCACUCGCCUCCUCUCCCUGUCGCCCAGAAGUCUUCGCCGCCGCCGCCACCACCCACGCCGACCGCUUCCGGCGAGCUCCGGCACCGCGCAACAUGUACCCGAGCUCCCCACAGUCCGCGCCUCCCUCCCCUCCGGCUAUAUUCUCCGCUCCCGGCAUCUAUCGCCCGCUCGCAGCCCCGCCCCCAUGGCUAGGGUUUCGAGCAGGGCUUCGCCGGUGCAUCUCCCGCUCGCCGUCUUCUCCCACCAUGCCGGCCUCCCUUCUCUAGGCACCCUCCCACCGUUCGGCACCCUCGCACUGGGCAUUCCUUUCUCUCCCCCUCACGGCUCCUCCCGUCGCCGAACUGGAGCACCAGCCGCUCCUCCUCCACCUCCCCGAUUUGGGGCAGCAACGCCACGAGCUAACACCCCUGCGUGGGCUUGCUCAAUCUGGGGCAAACGCGCCAGUUCCGGCAUGGCGAGAGGAGGAAGUCUGAUUUCUAAGAAAAGGGUUUCUUGGUUGAGAAUAAUGGAAUUUGAGAUGUACUGCUAUGUGUUUGCUCUCCAUCUUGGACCUUCUAAGCUGCACCUGAUUGACCCGGCGAAAUACAAGAGCAUCUCAUCUGGAUUUAGCGUUCUGCUAAAGGAGCAAGGAGCUAGGGUUUUUUUCAGGGGAUGGGUGCCUACCUUGCUUGGUUACAGUGCUCAGGGGGCUUGCAAGUUUGGGUUCUACAAGUUCUUUAAGAAGACCUACUCAGAUAUGGUUGGGCCUGAGAAUGCCGUGAAUGAUGGGCUUCCCAAGUUCAUCAAAUCUGAGGGUGCUGCUGGCUUACGGACAUUAUUCAUCGACUCCUUAGAGUCAUUCUCUCCACAGUUAUUCACUUUUCUUGCCAAAAGUUGGAGAAGAUAUGUAAGGCUAAUGUUUGAGCAGAAGGAGAGUGAAAAGAUGCAAGAGUGA